CUGCCUAACAGAGAAUGCCCAGCGUCUGCCACAGCAGCAUUUCUGCUGCCCUCUGUGUAAAACGAGAGCUCCCAGGAAUGUUAGCACCAAAGAAACGAAAUUGCUGAAACACUGAUCUCUCAGAGCAAGUUUUCUCAUCCCUGGACUUCCCAACACUAAGAUGAAGCUGGACACUGGACUCUGGAGAUGAAGAGAGACUGGAAGAAGAGCAACUGGAACUCCAGAGAUGGCUCAGCACCACCUAAUUGUGGAGAAGGUAAAAAAAAACCCGGGCAGGUGUUGAAUGAAUGUCAAAGUUGAAGUUAGGCUCUUCCUAGCUUUCCAGCAAGCAUCAGUGGAAGAGAACUGGAGAGUGGGUCUUGGAUGACGAUGCAACAUUCAGGAUGCCCUUUCCAUCACCCACAAAAGCAGCUGAGGAGCUCCUCUUACAGAGCAGGUAAAUAUCAAGCAAUGGAUUCCAAAGCAGAACUGAGGCACCACAGUGAGCCAACAUGCCAGAGGAAGAAGAUAAUCACACCUACCUGGAGUUACCAAUCCAAAAAGCCCCACUUGCCAGUACACAAAAUACAGGUAGGGCUGGACUCCAUCCACACUGGAAGCAAAGCACAGAACAGCUGAAAGAGAAGAAGGAGAUUGAAAGACAACUCUGGAUAUAGACUGCCCUGCACAGCAAUGCAGCUUGGGCAAAGUGCUGGGGUGCUGAUACUCCCUGUCGAGGAGAGGGGAUUCAUGCUGAAAAUAGAUCCUUCUUGAGAAGAAGAUCACAAAUUACAGCAUGACAGGGUGGCUGAGGGUGGAAGGGAUCUCUGGAGGUCAUCUGGUCCAACCCCCCUGCAGAACGGCCACCUAGAGCCAGAUCAGGCAGUUGCCUCACUUUCUGCCACAUCUUAGAUACCACUGCUUCUCCCCCAUGUUCUGUGUAUAUCGAAAAGGGUCUGAAAGUGAGAGGCCACAUUUUUGUGCAGUUUGAAUUGUGGAAGCAAGUGGAAAUGUCUCAAGAAUGCCAGUCCCCAUGAAAAUCCCCUUGCCACAUUUGAGUCCUAGUUAUUCAUAUUAUGGAAAGGAAGAUAAGCCCAAUAUCUUCUCUCUGACACCUGCCCAGAGGAGAUACCCAGUUAGAAUAUAUG